rnacentral:tRNA from 1 species
GCCAAUUUAGCUCAGGUGGUAGAGCGGCACACUCGUAAUGUGCAGGUCGUUGGUUCGAAUCCAAUAAUUGGCU